rnacentral:rRNA from 1 species
GUUCUAUAGUUAUUAAUUUUAGAUUAAACCUGCUCUAUGAUUUAUUAAAUGGCUGCAGUAUUUUAACUGUACUAAGGUAGCAUAAUAAUUUGUCUUUUAAUUGAAGGCUGGAAUGAAUGGUUUAAUGAGAAAUUAACUUUUUUAAUUAAAUAAUUUGAAUUUGAUUUUUUAGUUAAAAAGCUAAAAUUUUUUUAUAGGACGAGAAGACCCUAUAAAAUUUUAUUUUUUCUAUAAUUAUUAUAAUUUUGUUAAUAAUUUUUUUUAUUUAUAUAAAAUAUUUUGUUGGGGUGAUGGAAAAAUUUUUUUAACUUUUUCUUUUUUUUUCAUUGAUUUAUGUUAUUUUGAUCCUAAAUUUUAGAUUAUAAGAUUAAAUUACUUUAGGGAUAACAGCGUUAUUUUUUUGGAGAGUUCAUAUCGAUAAAAUAAGUUUGCGA